GCCGCGAGUACAACUCGGGUCGGCCCUCUCGGGGGUCUGGCCUGGGCUCGCGGCGCGGUCUCGCGCGCGGGAGGUGGAGCGCACUUCUCCUCGAGUAGGACGCCGCGACCCGCUGGGUGUCGGUCUGAGGCCCGGGUGCGAGCCCGUGUCGCGGUUCGCCGCGUCGCGGAGCCCCGGUGUCCCGACCGACCGCUCGGCGGUCGAACGUAAGGAACUGGCCCGCGCUCUUUUGCGCGCCCGUGCCGCUUGCGAGCGUCCGGCCGAACCCGUUGUGCGGACUUGUCCGCCGUGGGCCGGUCGGCGUUGUCGGCUUGUGGAUUUCUCGGGCAGCGGCCUCUCCUGUUUGCGGCGCUCAAAGCUGGGCGGCCCACCCGACCCGUCUUGAAACACGGACCAAGGAGUCUAACAUGUGCGCGAGUCAUUGGGUCCCACUAAACCCAAGGGCGUAUUGAACGAAAAGGCUGUCCUCGCGGCGGCCGAGGGAGGAUGGGGCGUCGCUCGCGGCGCCCCCGCAUUCCCGGGGCGUCUCGUCCUACCGGCGCUCGUCGCCGGAAGGUGAG
rnacentral:rRNA from 1 species